GAUGAACGCUGGCGGCGUGCCUAAUACAUGCAAGUCGAGCGAACGGACGAGAAGCUUGCUUCUCUGAUGUUAGCGGCGGACGGGUGAGUAACACGUGGAUAACCUACCUAUAAGACUGGGAUAACUUCGGGAAACCGGAGCUAAUACCGGAUGAUAUUUUGAACCGCAUGGUUCAAAAGUGAAAGACGGUCUUGCUGUCACUUAUAGAUGGAUCCGCGCUGCAUUAGCUAGUUGGUAAGGUAACGGCUUACCAAGGCAACGAUGCAUAGCCGACCUGAGAGGGUGAUCGGCCACACUGGAACUGAGGCACGGUCCAGACUCCUACGGGAGGCAGCAGUAGGGAAUCUUCCGCAAUGGGCGAAAGCCUGACGGAGCAACGCCGCGUGAGUGAUGAAGGUCUUCGGAUCGUAAAACUCUGUUAUUAGGGAAGAACAUAUGUGUAAGUAACUGUGCACAUCUUGACGGUACCUAAGCAGAAAGCCACGGCUAACUACGUG
rnacentral:rRNA from 1 species